rnacentral:lncRNA from 1 species
GGAUUGCCUAUUGUGGGUCAGUGGUUUACCCUUGUAUCCAUGAGGAUGAGGGUUCGAUCCCUGGCCUUGCUCACUAGGUUAAGGAUCUAGCAUUGCCGUGAGCUAUGGUGUAGGUCACAGACGCAACUUGGAUCCCUCAUUGCUGUGGCUGUGGUAUCGGCUGGCAGCUAUAGCUCCAGUUUUACCCCUAGCCUGGGAACUUCCCAUAUGCUGCAAGUGGCAGCCCUAAAAAGGCUAAAUAAAUACCAGAAAAGUCCUGAGGUGCUGUAAAUGUAGACACAGGUGUAUGCAUUAGAGCAGAUGGAGAGUUGAUACUCCUCUGUGGACCUAACCUUUGUCCGCUAAGGACACUGCUCCACCUACCACCCUUCCCAGUAGCAGCACUGGAGUAUUCCUUGCCCUGCAAACCUAGGUUCAGGAUAUGGGCUUGUUGUGCGCUGCUUGUCCUUGCUCCCUCCGCUCCUGUUAAAAUCCCUACUCACUCUGUUGAGGUUUAUGUGAUCCCCUCACUCUUGGUUGUGAUUACCUAAGGGCUUGAUUACUACCCAUCCUCUUCAAUUAUACCCACCUUCCUCUUCCUCUACACUUUAUCCUAAAUCAUUUCAGCGUUUGUGUGAUUUACUCAUCUGUGCUGGAAGUCCCCAAGAUAACCAUACUCAUGGCUAUGAUUUCUUCCGGCGAAAAGAUGCAAAGCAAAAUCGGCAAAGGAAAAGACACAUAGGCAAAGUCUGGAGUAAACCAGGCUCAGAAUUUCCAAAGUGGAGUCACAAAGGAGGCACUUCAUUUCCCUGGACGAGUUGUUCCAACAUGUGUGGAAUGUUGUCUACCAGGGAAGCUCAUCAGAGACUCUAGGCCCAGCGUUUGGAUCAGGGGCUGAUUAUGUAGGCGCCUUCUGCUUGGCACAUACCAAAAUCCCAAACUCCCAGAAGUAAAUUAGUACAAGUAAACCGCAUUGAUUGUACAAACAGUUUCGGCACAGUGAAUGAUUUUUAUCAGUUCUGGGAAUGAUGGAAACCCUCAAAUCCAAGUUUCUAGCUGCCAGCCCAGGUCUAACUUGUAAGCAGACUUUAUAAAAGAUAAAAGGCCUGCUGUGUUAAUUCUGGACCCAUCCCACACCUUAGUUCCUAUUCCUUUCCCUUUGACCUUUUCUUCUCAGCUCCUCCCACCCAAACCUGUUGUCGUACCUGGACCUUGUCCAUCAACCUCAGCUGCACCAUCUCUGAAUCACGGAUUUGGCUGAUCUUCCAACCACCUUGCUUAAAUACAUACAGGAGUUCCCACUGGGGCUCAAUGGGUUAAGAACCCAGUAUAGUGUUGGUGGGGAUGCAGGUUCAAUCCCUGGCCUCACUCAGUGGUUUAAGGGUCCAGUGUUGCCACAAGCUGUAGUGUGGGUCACGGAUGUGGCUCCGAUCAGGCACUGCCAUAGCUGUGGUGUAGGCUGGCAGGUGCAGCUCUGAUUGGACCCCUUGACUGGGAACUUCCAGGGGCAGCCGGAAAAAAAAGAAAUACACACAAACCAGUGACCUAACCAGUCCUUUGCUUAGUAAUUGCUUUUGACUUGGUGCAGACCUUCAGGUCAGGAAUCUUUCUAGAAACUGAAUUCAUUAGCUCCUAUCUUUUGCUUUCCCUACCACCAACUCCAAGCCAGCCUAGACUCCUUGAUCCAUCAUUUUACAAAUACCUGAAACUCCUUUCUCCUGUCUUGAACUUUGUGUGCUCCUGCCUUAAGAAACUCAACCCAUGGAGUUCCCGUCAUGGCUCAGUGGUCAACGAAUCCAACUAGGAACCAUGAGGUUGCGGGUUCGAUCCCUGGCCUUGCUCAGUGGGUUGGGGAUCCAGCAUUGCUGUGAGCUGUGGUGUAGGUUGCAGACACGGCUCGGAUCCCUGAGUUGCUGUGGCUGUGGUGUAGGCCGGCAGCUACAGCUCCGAUUCGACCCCUAGCCUGAAAACCUCCAUAUGCCGAGGGAGUGGCCCAAGAAAUGGCAAAAAGACAAAAAAAAAGAAAAAAAAAAAA